UUCCCACACAGCAAUUAACAGGAAGAGACGGCACCGAGCGAAUAUUUCAAUUGCGCGUACAGGAGGUGCCAAUAUGUUUUGCUGUUCUGCGAUUGUGUUCUGUGGGCGCCAGCAGGGCUGUUACAGUGAAGGGUCUGUUCAGUUGGCAUUUCCACUGGAAACCUAAUCUUUGAAAGGGGUUAUAAUUCGGCCGUUUUUAAUUAACGAGGGGAUUAAACUUGGCACGCGGGCACUCGAGGGCUGUUUGUUGCUGUUUUAUUUAUUUAUUUAUUUAUUUCAAUUCAAUCUGUUAGGCCCAUCUCAAACAACGUUCUUUGUUUCCACUUACUGGGGUUGACUUCAAAUAUCUUUGUGCAUAUGUGUGUGCCUGUACCUAUAUGUAACGGAAAUGAGAUAUACCAAGGGGAAGGAUGGCAGCUGGGUGGGUGAGCAGGAUGCUGAAGUACACCACAUUCCCAGGGCUGCUGUAAUUCACAUGCUGAAACAGGGAGCAGCGAGUGACACACAUUCCCUGGGGAGAUAUUUCCACUUUUUUAUGAUUCUUCAGGCUUCUGUGACAUUUCCCAAGUCCAGUUGUUGGAGCCUUAGGUUCAAGCCUCUACACCACCCUGGACAAUAUCCCAGCAGAGGUAAUUUGGCCCUUCAACCUUCAGCAGUGAAUACAUUGACUUCAUGGUGUGCACAGUGUGGGAGUGGGAUUCUUGCGCAAAACCCUAAAACCCACGGUGGAAACCUGUCAUUGAGUGCUCAGUGACACCACAUUCAGCAUUUUUCA
rnacentral:lncRNA from 1 species